GCAAAAAGCGAUUCUUUGAAGAACCUUCUGAUUGCAAUGCAUCAAGAGAUCUAGUUCAUGCAGCGCUGCACUCAAAACCAGGAGGCUCUGAUGUAUUGAAGGAGUAUGAACAAACAAAGAGUCUGUCUGACAAGACACGAAGAAAGCUGGUAAACAUCCUUGUGGCUGAUAUGGUAGAGACCCAUGGGAGGAUUCCACCAGUCAGUAUCCGUGUAAGCUAUGCUCUUGGAAUAAUUACUCUGUUCCCUAAUUUGAAGGAUAAAUUCUCACCGAC